UAAACAGACCCCGGGGGACAAUUCUAACGAUAUAAAUAAAAUAACCAUUAAUAGCGAAAAUUGUUCGAUGAGCAGGAGGCCGAGCACCCGGGACUCCGAUCUUGCUCGGGUUUGUGUACACAGCGUGGACACCACGCAUCUGUCAGGUGAACUGGAGGUCCUUGUCCCCACCGAAAUCUAAAUCCAGCGCAGGUGAGGUCCCCGCAGGCGCGUCAACGGCCACCAGGCUCCUGACACGCACAGGCCUCAACACCACGGCUCGGGACAGACGCACACGCCCAGAGCGCAGUGUCGCUGGGGCUCGAGGUGAGAAAACUGAAGCUUAGCAAGGUUGAAGGACUGACUCAAGGUUACAAGAUGACAAAGUGACAGGACGGGGCUCCAAACCCCUCUGAUGGACUCUAGGGUUACUGCUUUGGCCCAAGACAGACAGAGGAGGAGUGCGGAGAGGUUGAGAGGAGUUCCAGAACCUACAGGCACGUCCAAGGACAGAGGCGAGACCCAGCCCGCAUCUCCCAGGGGAGCUCCUCGCUAAGGUCCCAGGCUCUUGGCCUGCAGCCAGAGAGAAGUGCGCCCAGGACAAAGCCCAGCACUCAGAGCCCCAGGCCGCGUGGACAGAGUGCUCGGGCUUGGCGACAGGGCGCGGAGUGAGCCCUGGCAACCUUACAGUCCCCCUAGCCUUGAUGCCAUCGAACUCUUGACCUCCGACCUGACACACCAGAGUCUGUACAGGGCAAAACCGUGAAACCCAGAGACCCAGAGUUGUGGACCUGGGCCUGGCUCCUCAGGCGAGUGGUGCCUUCCGUCCCUGGGACUGUGCGCCCUGGCGCGCCGCGGCUGCCCGGGGCCUUGGUCCUUUCCAGGUCCGGUCCUUGGCCAGUUCUGAGCAAGGCCAGCCCCUGCCCCGGCAACAUUCCUGCAGAGUCAGACAAGCUGUUGCCAGAGCAGUGGGAAUUGUUGGGUACCCCCAGAGCUUCAGGAAACCAAGGGAAAGUGGGCGACUAGGCCAGCUGACCCCGAUGCCCACUGAUGCAGCAAACGUUCCUCCUGAAUCUUGGGAUUCGCUCUCCCCAGUGCGGACCAAAGACCGGGACCUCAAGGCUGGAUGCACUGUAGGCGGGAUAAGACUUUUAUUAAGCCACAAGAAUGUGGCAAAUGUUUCUUUCCAAAUGAGAAAAGUCUUUUUCCUUCUCAAACGAUUUUAAGUGAGAUUUUCAUAAAGAUUUCUAUGUCCUAGGAAGCUGGGGUCCGUGGCUUGCGGUUGAAAGCAGACAGGACUGGGAAGAUCGCACUAGAAAGAGUUACCAAGAAUCUCUGCUUCUUGGAACGCGAUAACCACAUUCCCCCACCCUUCUACCCUUACUGCUCAGAGAUCUGCACAGAGCAGGCAGGCACUCUGGUUUAAAAGAAUUAAUCUGCCAAAGACUGCAGCCGUUCUUCUGAAUAUUUUAAAAGGUCUAUAGACAUUGAAACUUCGCUACAGGAAGUUAAACUCACACUAAAAAAAAUAAUAAUAAAAGUUAAGGAAUGCAUCUAGAAUUCCAAUUUAAUCCCCAAGUUAAAACUGUUCACUGCACUCCCAAAUAGUACAUGCAAAUAGCACAAAUAAAUGUCUGUAUAGGCAUCCUUUAUGUAGGUAUUCCUGUUUUAAAAAAAUACUUAAUUUUCAUUCGACAAAGUUAGGCUUUCUUGUGUGUUUUAUCAGCAGAACAGAACUGGUUUUGUUGACAAAAGCUGUAUUUACAUUGUAUUUACAUUAUCUUCAAAUUUUUUGGAGUGGGGCAGAUACACAUAAGAUAGAUGCAGAAGAUCCUCUCCUUGAGAAAUCGAAACUCACUUCCUCAGUAAGGGCCUGUAAUUUACAAAGAACUACUUGCAUUAUUGAACUUGGACUGAUUUUCUACCAGGGAAGGGAAGUGGUGGGUUAUUUAGAAAACUCCGUUCCAAAUACAGUCUGGGGGAAAUCUGACAUUUAUACAAACACAUGCAAAAUAAUUUUUAAAAAAUCUAAAUGCUCAAAAAUCCAUUUUAAAAUCUCUCUUACAAAAUUACCAAAACGUGGAAAAAAUUCCUCUCAAGGAAUUAGAUGAUUUUAAUGCUUUCUGGGACUGACCUACCUACUUGACAUUUCUUUAAAAGUAGAAAAAGUAUUUACCCUUCUCACAAAAUACUAUUGCCUCUGGAUUGCUCAAAAAUUUUGGAGAGCUUUCCAAUAUCCUUCAACUAAAAACCAAACCAAAACACGGACUUACACACCACCAUCAUCAACAACAAAAUAACAAGAACCUAUUUAGUGCUACUGCCAAAGAAGAAAUGUCUUUUUUUUGGGUAAGAUGUCAUCGAAUGACAUUUCUAGAAGAGCAGUAAAAAUGAAACAUGCAAUGAAAAAAAUUUACCUGCAAUGUUCUAUAGUUUUGGCUAGCUGUGUUCGUCGCGGGAUUAUUUCUCACACUUUAAUAGACAAUUACUUCUGACUGUGGUGCUACAUUUAGAUUAGAAGCCGUGAUAACUUUCAACUUUUUUGUGACCGUGGUUACACAAUUAAAUCUUUAUUUGAAUAGUUGAAAGGUAAUAACAUAAGUAGUGGCACAUAUAACGAAAAUAAUCGGUAUCUGCCUGUAUUUCUAUGUGUAUUAAACAAUUUUUGUGUAGAGAAUAGUAACUUAUGGGAACAUUUUAUAGUUUUCAAGGAAUAAUCAUAUUUUAAUUUGAUAAUAUAUUUAUUGCAAUGGUUAGCAUGUGGCUUUUCUCCAAAAAGAUAUAAUUUUGUAUAUUGCUUAUGAAUCUAUACAGCAUUUCCCCCUCAUAGAAUUUGCCAUCAUUUUACUAUGCUCUUUGAUCAUAUAUGGGCAGAGGGGGAUUUGCAUAAAUGUGUAAUGUGACAAAAUCGUAGGUAGGUAGGCAGAUACACUCGAUUAAAAUAACAUC